AUAUGCCUUAUGGUGGGGGACAACAGUUGGAAACGACUGCUAAUACCGCAUAACGUCUACGGACCAAAGGGGGGGAUCUUCGGACCUCUCGCCAUCUGAUUAGCCCAAGUGAGAUUAGCUAGUUGGUGAGGUAAUGGCUCACCAAGGCGACGAUCUCUAGCUGGUUUGAGAGGAUGAUCAGCCACACUGGGACUGAGACACGGCCCAGACUCCUACGGGAGGCAGCAGUGGGGAAUAUUGCACAAUGGGCGAAAGCCUGAUGCAGCCAUGCCGCGUGUGUGAAGAAGGCCUUCGGGUUGUAAAGCACUUUCAGUUGUGAGGAAAGGAGUGUCGUUAAUAGCGCCAUUCUGUGACGUUAACAACAGAAGAAGCACCGGCUAACUUCGUGCCAGCAGCCGCGGUAAUACGAGGGGUGCAAGCGUUAAUCGGAAUUACUGGGCGUAAAGCGUUCGUAGGCGGUCUAUUAAGCAAGAUGUGAAAGCCCAGGGCUCAACCUUGGAACUGCAUUUUGAACUGGUAGGCUAGAGUACUGUAGAGGGUGGUGGAAUUUCCAGUGUAGCGGUGAAAUGCGUAGAGAUUGGAAGGAACAUCAGUGGCGAAGGCGGCCACCUGGACAGAUACUGACGCUGAGGAACGAAAGCGUGGGGAGCGAACAG
rnacentral:rRNA from 1 species